GCUGCGCGCCGGACGGGGCCCAAGCGGGGGUCGGAGCCUCAAGGCUGCGGCGGCGACGAGCUCCGAGCGGGACACUGAACGGCCCGUAUGCGCAAGAUAAGCACGGACUGAAUCAGGUACACGCACCUGCCGGGGACGCACUGACCGAGGUGCGGACGGCGGUACCAGGACAGGUAAAGCCGCGAACACUCGGACCUAAGAACUUGACAGGUACACCCUGCCUGAUGAAGCUACGUACGGCCAGGUGCGCAUCGAGUGAAUCAGGUACGCGGAGGUUGGUCCACGCACCUUGGAGGCAGGUCCAUGGUUAUAGACAGGUACAUCCAGACAGGCACUUUUCAGAUGGAGUCAGGCCCCCUCAAGACACACUGUGCUUAAAGCCGUCACACAGAGGUUGGCCACCCCCGGGGCCAGGUACACUUUUCCUGAAAUCUGUACUUUACUAGGACCAAAAGGCAGGUUCAGUCAGCAGAUGCACAAUGACCGAGGCAGAAAACCAGGCAAAAGAGGGCCAUUUACCCCAAUCACCACAUGAAUACUGUCCACACAAGAAUACUGUCACCCAUACCGCAGAACUCACUGAGCGCCCCCACUGGAGGAGCACCCUUGCUCCAUGAAGAUGCUUUUAGUUUCCCAGGUCAGACCUGAUCCCUCGCAUGAGCACAGCACUUUACAGGCUUACACUCACGGGCUUACAGACAGAGGUCAUUAUGCUGAUGUUACCCUUGAGAAAUUCUGCAAAGGCUAAACUGCCCCAGCUGGAAAGACUCGAACCAGGAUGGAGAGCUCCUAUUCUAGUGCUCCUAUUAUUUGCCAUUUUUGUGAACCACGAGUGACUGAGGGCAGAGGGGAGCCUGGCUUCCUAUGUGUGUGUGUGUGUGUGCGUGCGUGUGUGUGAGUGAGAGAGAGAGAGAGAAAACACAGAGCCCACACGCUGGAGGACAGAGCCACAUGCCACCAGUGCUUACUAUGUGCCAGUCCUUUGUUACAUUCUCUCUACCUCAUCAUAGGCAUGUAUCCUAUAAGUGCUAGUGUUAUAAUAAAUACUUGUUUAUUGUAAAAGACACCAUAGACACAACUGUACAUGUACAGCUUAAAGAAUAAUAGUAAUAAUAAAAAAGCCAUGUAUCCAUCACCUAACUUAAAAAAUAGACCAGUGCCAGUACCUUGAGGCCCUCUGGGUGCCCCCAUCACAGCCUCCUGCCCACAUCCUGAAGAACUAGUUUCCUGAACUUUAAUUGUGCUAGUCAUUCUCUUGCUUUUUCUUGUAGUUUUACCACCUCUGUAUGCAUCCCUAAGUGGGAUAUUGUAUAGUUUUGCUAUUUUUUACUUUGUGUAAACGGAGUCAUUCCAUAAUUAUGUGACUUCCUUUUUCAUACAGCAUUAUAUUUUUAAAAAUCCAUUUUGAUUGCCUGCAUACCUGUAAUUUAUUUUACUACUGAAUAGUGUCCCAUUUUAUGAAUAUACCACUGGUUACUUAUUCA
rnacentral:lncRNA from 1 species